UACGGAGGGGGCUAGCGUUGUUCGGAAUCACUGGGCGUAAAGGGCGCGUAGGCGGCUGUUCAAGUCGGGGGUGAAAUCCCGUGGCUCAACCACGGAAUGGCCUUCGAUACUGGACGGCUAGAGACCGGAAGAGGUGAGUGGAACUGCGAGUGUAGAGGUGAAAUUCGUAGAUAUUCGCAAGAACACCAGUGGCGAAGGCGGCUCACUGGUCCGGUUCUGACGCUGAGGCGCGAAAGCGUGGGGAGCAAACAGG
rnacentral:rRNA from 1 species